UAUCAAUCCUGCAGUAGCCUUGUGCUUAUUAGCAGAGAGGGGCGGAAGAAAAAAUUACUUGUGUGUAUUCAUGCAGUGGUAUUUUUGCUGUGUAUCUGCUAGGGCUUGAUGAUGGGCACCCUGGAGACACAGCAAGGAGCAAGACAGACCCAGCACCUUCCUGGAGCACUUACUGUGAUAAGGUUUCCUCUCUAAGCUCCACUUUGUCCCAAUACAAUAACCCACUGUCACCAAGAAAAAGUGGCCUUGUCCCCUGGUCGCAGUUGUUGUCUCAAGGAGUAGCUGUGUCACGUCAGGCUGACGCCACUCACCUGAAAUUCUAAUGGCUCAUACCCAAGACCUGACUAAGCGCCCAAGCUUUAGGGAGAUUCUUGGAAAGGAGAAGACUAGGUCAUCUAGUCCUGGAGAAAUGGAAAACAAACUCCGAAGGAAUUUGAACUCCCUUUUGGCAGGAAGAACAGAAGUUAAUCACCAGAGACAACCCUAGACUUUCAUCAGCCUAGCGAUGGCGGAGAGGAGCCUACUAUAACAAGCCGUGUCGUAACUAGCCCUUACGGACCAUUCAUUCCCCAUAUACCGGAGGUGCCAAAAAAAUGUAUAUGCAUGACUUGUAUUCAUCUUUUGUUGUCGGUAUAUAUUGAGAAUUACAAUUU